GAGGGUGUAGCUCAGUAGUAGAGCGAUUGCUUACAAUAUAUAAGGUCCUAGGUUCAAUCCCUAGCCCUCC
rnacentral:tRNA from 1 species